rnacentral:lncRNA from 1 species
ACCAGAAGCAGAGGCUGGCACCAUGUUUGUUAUGCAGCCUGCAGAACCAGAAAUCAUGGGAAAAACUGCCCAUUUCUGUUUUGUCCACUUUGCUUUGGGAAGUGAGAGCUAUAGUCAUUAUCACCACAUCCCCUGGCAUCCAAUUCCGUAGUGAGACGAGCAUGAGUGGAGCAGGAGACGGCUGUCCCCCACCCACAAGGAAUAUCAGAUGAUGGUUCAGCGAUCAUCACAUUGCCUCUCUGAAAGUGAUAAAUUGGCAGCUGGCACCAGGGAGAGGCUAUUUCCUGAUGGCCCACACCUGUUGCACUAAGAUGUUAAUCGAAUGCAGAUUCCAGGGAGAAACAACUUCCUGGGCAUGUGCGUAAGAGACAAAAUGGCAGUAAAAAUUAGAGAAUGAGAUCAGAAUAUGGAUACAUUGCAAGAGGUGGAGCCCUGGAACAAAAGUAAGAGCUGAGGACUAUCCUGAUCAAAUAUGCAUACUUCAAAGAUUGCUUCAAUGGACCGAAUGGAAGGAAGAGGUUGCUGAUACCAUGGAAAUCAGUUAAAAGGCUCAUGAAAGAAUGCAAACAAAAAGUUUUUUCAACUGAAUUUGUCCUGCUCUACACCUCUUCCUCCACCCCUCCAAAAUAAAACAAGAUAAUACUGCCAAA